rnacentral:rRNA from 1 species
UACGGGGGGGCAAGCGUUGUUCGGAAUUACUGGGCGUAAAGGGCUCGUAGGCGGCCAACUAAGUCAGACGUGAAAUCCCUCGGCUUAACCGGGGAACUGCGUCUGAUACUGGAUGGCUUGAGUUCGGGAGAGGGAUGCGGAAUUCCAGGUGUAGCGGUGAAAUGCGUAGAUAUCUGGAGGAACACCGGUGGCGAAGGCGGCGUUCGUGGACUGGUCUCGACACUGAAGAACGAAAGCCAGGGGAGCAAACGGGGAUUAGAAUACCCCUGGU